rfam:Beggiatoa sp. 4572_84 ex4572_84_scaffold_10148, whole genome shotgun sequence.
CCAGGGGCUCCAGGGGCGUUGCCCCUGGCUUUAAUAAUACGCCCCUUCAGGGCU